UACGUAGGGAGCAAGCGUUGUUCGGAUUUACUGGGCGUAAAGGGCGCGUAGGCGGCAAUUCAAGUCAUCUGUGAAAUCUCCGGGCUUAACUCGGAACUGUCAGAUGAUACUGCUUUGCUAGAGUGCAGAAGGGGCAAUCGGAAUUCUUGGUGUAGCGGUGAAAUGCGUAGAUAUCAAGAGGAACACCUGAAGUGAAGACGGGUUGCUGGGCUGACACUGACGCUGAGGCGCGAAAGCCAGGGGAGCAAACGGG
rnacentral:rRNA from 1 species